AACGAACGCUGGCGGCAGGCCUAAACAUGCAAGUCGAGCGGGCAUAGCAAUAUGUCAGCGGCGGACGGGUGAAUAACACGUGGGAACAUGCCCUUUGGUACGGAACAACUCAGGGAAACUUGAGCUAAUACCGUAUGUGCCGGUAACGGGAAAGAUUUAUCGCCAAAGGAUUGGCCCGCGUCCGAUUAGCUAGUUGGUGAGGUAACGGCUCACCAAGGCGACGAUCGGUAGCUGGUUUGAGAGAACGAUCAGCCACACUGGGACUGAGACACGGCCCAGACUCCUACGGGAGGCUGCAGUAACGAAUCUUCCGCAAUGCACGCAAGUGUGACGGAGCGACGCCGCGUGUGGGACGAAGCCCUUCGGGUGGUAACACUGUCAGGGACAGAAAGUUCUGAUCGUCCCCCAGAGGAAGGCACGGCUAACUCUGUGCCAGCAGCCGCGGUAAC
rnacentral:rRNA from 1 species